rnacentral:tmRNA from 1 species
GGGGGCGACCUGGUCUCGACGUGGGUUGCAAAGCAGAGUAGGGCAUACCGAGGUUCAGUCACCUCGUAAAACAGCUGAAAACCAAUAGUCGCAAACGACGAAAACUACGCUCUAGCCGCUUAAUCGCGCUAGACUCUGCACCGGUUGGUCUCUGGGCCGGCUUGAAGCCGCAAGGUGGAAAGAGCAGAGUCAUUAACAGAGACUCGUGCCGGCCAGCGUCGCUUUGACCGGUGUUAAAUCCAAGACGGCUCGCCUGAUUCCAGCCUGUUCGAUUGGCGUGAUGAGGGUUAAAACCAAAUAAUCGGACUAAGUAUGUAGAACUGCCUGUAGAGGGCUUGCGGACGCGGGUUCGAUUCCCGCCGCCUCCACCA